rnacentral:lncRNA from 1 species
GUUGCCUACCGCUAGGGGCCUUGACGGUAUGCACCUAUACCCUACGUCAUCGACCCCGGCGAUAGAAAAAGGGAAAGAUUCCGACAUGCUUUUGAACAUUGGUCAGAUCCGGCUACAUUUUUGCAAAAAAGGGUAAAAACACCGAAAUUUGCCGCAUAUGGUUUCUGAACAGUUUUGUAGAAGAAGAAGACGCAGGUCCUGUGCAGUAGAAAGCAAAAGUAAGUCCCACCACCAUGAAAAGGAAAGUACUGGAAAGCCAUGGGCUACAGCAUGAGUCAUGUCGCGACGAUCUCGCUAGUUAUCCCGGUCCAGUUGCAAUGCAACGGUAGCCUUGGUUGCCAGCUUCGACCGGAGCCAACAUCCGUCACCGUCGAAAGGAUUUGUGACGGCCAAGGCAACGGCCAUGUCUUCAGAUGGAACAUCGACAAAAUCACUUGGAAGACCUAUGUAUGUAUGCCCCUGGCUAUGACAGCAAGAUUGCAGGGCAUCCAAACUCUACCCGGAAACUGAUACGAUGCCCAUACCCUUGAAACUACGACAGCAAGAUUGCAGGGCAUCCAAACUCUACCCGGAAACUGAUACGAUGCCCAUACGCUUGAAACUCUUGGCCCUUCCCACUGCCCAUGUAGGAUAUUUGUUUCACUCCAACAUCCCAUACUUGAUUAAGAAUAAAGGAAAUGUUACCGAGCUAUGGAUCUUUAGCUAGCUAGCUUCACCAGUUAUACUGGGAGUUUGC